rnacentral:rRNA from 1 species
GUUGACCUCGAAUCAGGUAGGAAUACCCGCUGAACUUAAGCAUAUCAAUAAGCGGAGGAAAAGAAACCAACAGGGAUUGCCCCAGUAACGGCGAGUGAAGCGGCAACAGCUCAAAUUUGAAAUCUGGCUCUCGGGCCCGAGUUGUAAUUUGUAGAGGAUGCUUUUGGUGAGGUGCCUUCCGAGUUCCCUGGAACGGGACGCCAUAGAGGGUGAGAGCCCCGUCUGGUUGGACACCGAUCCUCUGUAAAGCUCCUUCGACGAGUCGAGUAGUUUGGGAAUGCUGCUCUAAAUGGGAGGUAUAUGUCUUCUAAAGCUAAAUACCGGCCAGAGACCGAUAGCGCACAAGUAGAGUGAUCGAAAGAUGAAAAGAACUUUGAAAAGAGAGUUAAAAAGUACGUGAAAUUGUUGAAAGGGAAGCGCUUGUGACCAGACUUGGGCUUGGUUGAUCAUCCGGGGUUCUCCCCGGUGCACUCUUCCGGCUCAGGCCAGCAUCAGUUCGCCCUGGGGGAUAAAGGCUUCGGGAAUGUGGCUCUCUCCGGGGAGUGUUAUAGCCCGCUGCGUAAUACCCUGUGGCGGACU